UAUUAAUGUUUCACUUUCACCAUCGUUUUCGUCGACCGAUCCCAUCGUCACGGCGUUUCAUCGCUGAUGGAGAAAAUCUCGAGAUUGGACCCGAGCUCAAGGAGUAGAGUGGAUAUUUAUAGAUUCAUCGUUUUAUAUCGUGGUAAAAGGUGAAGCAGAUUGUUUUGGUUUGACUCGAUAGUUACCAGGAAACCGAAGAUUUUGGGUUUCAUUUUUUUUUAUUCAAUUUAUUCAUGAAAUUAGUAGUUGGACUUAAGUUAUUGAAUUUCAUUGUUUUAGACUUCCGCUGUAGACAUGAGAUUUUGAGGGUUGAUUUUAGAA